rnacentral:other from 1 species
GAGCCUCUGCUACGUUAGUACAGGUUGAUCUUUUAUUGAGCCAACGCCUUCCAAUUGGGAGCCCGAUAUUUGGUCGUUUUAGGACACGCCCCCUGCGGGGGGAUCUCCCUGGCGGCAGUGAGGGUACCCACCUUAAAUGAAGGUUCAAUGAUAUCGGCUUCUACGGCGAUGCGGAGGCUCG